UUCUUUCUGGAGAAGGAAACAAUUCUCUAGAUGUUCUUUUUCUCCUUCUCCUUCUAGUUCAACUCAAUCCUUCAAGAAGAGGUUCUGAAUUUUUCUUGCUCCUAGUUCGAAUUUUAUCCUGCGUACACAAGAAAACAAAACCCUAAAAAGCAAUUGUUAGAAGGACCAAAAACAAAAAUAAAAAAAAAAUCAAGUCAAAGUUAAUGAAUAAUCACACAAAUAGAAUAGUUAAACCACGAGUCCCCGGUAACGGCGCCAAAAUUUUUUAA
rnacentral:lncRNA from 1 species